rnacentral:lncRNA from 1 species
CGAGCUUGAAUAGCAAGCUUCAUUUGCUUUCGAUGUUCUGUUUAUUAAAAUUAUUGCUCAAAGAUGCACGCUGCCAAAGUUUCUUUUUAAUUUGGGACGUUCCUAUUUUAUUAAAAAAUCAAUUUCUUAAGUGAUAUUUUGGUAAAUAUUUUGGAUGUUUUAGAUCAUGGGUAUGGUUUAUGAGCUUUAUAAAUAUAGUAUUUCAUCCAUUUCAAAAUAAUCAUUGUACAUUACUCUUCUCUCGUUCUUUCUUCUCUUAGUUUCAUUCUUUCUUUUUUCUUUUUUUUAAAAAUAUUUUGGGUUUAUUUUAUUCUCUUCUUUUAGAGAUUCUUACUAGUUCCGAGAUCCUCAAAAAUGAUGAGAAGUUCCUAUUGUAUCUUAGGAGGCUUGCCCAAUAGACCGCG